AGUCGAGCGGCAGCACUUCGGGUGGCGAGCGGCGGACGGCUGAGGAACGCGUUGGUACCUGCCCCAAACUCAGGGAUAAGCCUUCGAAAGGAGGUCUAAUACCGGAUAUCCGGAAACGGGAAAGAUUUAUCGGUUUGGGAGGGGCCUGCGUCGUAUCAUGCUUGUUGGUGGGGUAAUGGCUCACCAAGGCUUUGACGCGUAUCUGGUGUGAGAGCAUGACCAGACAGAGUGGGACUGAGACACGGCCCACACUCCUACGGGAGGCAGCAGUGAGGAAUUUUCCGCAAUGGACGAAAGUCUGACGGAGCAAUCCCGCGUGGAGGACGACACCUUUCGGGGCGUAAACUCCUUUUCUGAGGGAAGAAAUUUUGACGGUACCUCAGGAAUAAGCAUCGGCUAACUACGUGCCAGCAGCCGCGGUAAUACGUAGGAUGCAAGCGUUAUCCGGAAUUAUUGGGCGUAAAGCGUUCGAAAGUGGUGAUAUCAGUCUGGUGUUAAAUCCCUGCGGCUCAACCGAGGAAUCGUACCGGAUACUAUAUCGCUAGAGGAAUGCAGAGGAAGCUGGAAUUCCCAUUGUAGGGGUAAAAUCCGUAGAUAAUGGGAGGAACACCAAAAGCGAAGGCAGGCUUCUGGGCAUUUCCUGACACUGCGCGAACGAAAGCGUGGGGAGCGAAAGGGAUUAGAUACCCCUGUAGUCCACGCCGUAAACGAUGAUCACUCGAUAUACGCCGGCUCAAUCCCGGUGUGUGUCCAAGCUAACGCGUUAAGUGAUCCGCCUGUGGAGUACGGCCGCAUGGCUAAAACAUAAAGGAAUAGACGGGGAUCCACACAAGCGGUGGAGCAUGGGGUUUAAUUCGACAAUAAGCGAGGAACCUUACCAAGACUUGACAUCUUUCGAAUUUUCUAGAAAUAGAAAAGUGCCUUCGGGACGAAAUGACAGUGCUGCAU
rnacentral:rRNA from 1 species